UUUUCAGAUGUAGCGCAACAGCAGAAGACUACGGAAUAAUUGUUCGGACUAACUUUGAUCGAAAACCACUAAAUUAAUGUCUUAUAUGGCUAUAUUUCUUAAGAAGUGUGGGUUUUAUUUCGACUUCGACGAUAUUGUUAUCGGAAUUUUUUUUCGGUUCAAGCGAAGUUAUUAGCAGUUGAAAGCAAAGCUCGCGAAUAGCCUAUAGUCGCUAUAGUAAUAGUCUAGCCGAUAACUAAAAGGGAUAAAUUCAUUUUGUGGUUCAAUUAUAAUUUAAACUGAUUUCAAGGAGAAUGUGUAGAGAUUUACUUGAUUUUUUUCGUCCAGGAGAAGGAGCAGCCAUGGAAUUCCAAUUGCUGCAUGCGCUAGUCUGGAAAAUGGAAGUCCCCGCCUCCGUAUGCAGAGCGUGUGUCAUUGCUGUGACUGGAUCCCACACCACUAUGGUCACUUGAGCGCAGAAUACCUUUCCCUGCUGGACCAGAUGCCUCGAGGACGACCUGGAGGGCGAGGCGCAGGGCGAUCCGGAUGGAGGCGGUGGAACUCACCUAGCAGAGAUGGGUCCAGAUCAGAAACUUUUUCCUCUGGCACCCCGUAGUGCCGGAAGCCAUGUGUAAACAGUGCCUCCGCAGUUUGUAGGGCCGCAGGAAAGCCGGGCAAAGGGAGGAGAUGGCAGGACUUAGAUAACCGAUCCACAACGACCAGGAUCGUGGUGUUCCCCUGUGAUGGAGGAAGAUCGGUGAGGAAGUCCACAGACAGGUGUGACUAAGGCCGCUGUGGAACGGGGGGCUGUAAACUUCCCUCUGGACAGGUGUCUAGGAGCCUUACACUGGGUGCACACACCGAACAGGAGGAAACAUAAACCCUCACGUCUUUGGCCAAGGUGGGCCACCAGUACUUCCCCCUAAGACGCUGCAACGUC